GAGAAGAGACACAGGGAGUAAAGCGCGGGGGAGUGAAGGGAGACGGAGUUUGACAGCUCAGCAGUGGAGAAGUUAUAGGAAAAGAGAGACGUCUGUGAGGAGCUGGUAGAACAUCCAGACACGCGGCAAAACAAACUAUCCAACCGGUGAUCAUCGUGCGACAAUCUACCAUCAACGCACACAGAAACUCAUCGGGUAUUUCUAGCCCGUCAUGCCGACUGUCAGCAAGUCAGAAUCCAGCCGGAUUAAUAUUGCAAGCGUUACGCAACUGAGUACAAAAACUGGUCCACUCAUAACAAAGGGGAUUUCUUAUACUCUGACUGCAUGCUCGUGCCUCAAGAGGAAAAAAGAGAGGAGGAGAAGAGGAGGAAUGACAACGAAGAGAGAAAGAAAACAGAGAAGGGUACAGAAAACGGAGACGCAGCAUCGGCCGGGCUUCCAGUUGGAGGAUAGA